rnacentral:rRNA from 1 species
GACGAACGCUGGCGGCGUGCUUAACACAUGCAAGUCGAACGGAAAGGCCCUGCUUGCAGGGUGCUCGAGUGGCGAACGGGUGAGUAACACGUGGGUGAUCUGCCCCUUACUUUGGGAUAAGCCUGGGAAACUGGGUCUAGUACUGGAUAGGACCAUGCUGUAGGUGGUGUGGUGGAAAGAUUAGUUUCGGUAAGGGAUGAGCUCGCGGCCUAUCAGCUUGUUGGUGGGGUAAUGGCCUACCAAGGCGUCGACGGGUAGCCGGCCUGAGAGGGUGGACGGCCACAUUGGGACUGAGAGACGGCCCAGACUCCUACGGGAGGCAGCAGUGGGGAAUAUUGCACAAUGGGCGCAAGCCUGAUGCAGCGACGCCGCGUGGGGGAUGACGGCCUUCGGGUCGUAAACUCCUUUCAGCCAUGACGAAGCCCUUGUGGUGACGGUAGUGGUAGAAGAAGCACCGGCUAACUACGUG